AAUUAAAUAUUAGUUAUUACCAAUUCUUACCUUACCAUAUUUUGAUACAAACAACAUAAGGGUUCGUAAAUUAUCAUUUAUCUUAUGUUCCUCCCAAACAACGUAAUACUAAAAAGGGUUAAUUGCAAAAAAAAAAAAAUCCUGGAAUUUGCUAAUUUUUGUAAUUAAACUCUGAAAUUUGCAUAAUUGUCAAUUAAACUCUUACGUCUGAUUGAUGUUUCAAAUUGAUCCGACCGUCAAUAAACCGUUGGUAUACUUAACGGGAGUUCCACGUCAGCUGUCAUAUUAUCACUGGAGAAGUCACAUCAGUAACUCCAAAUUAACCCUAACUUCUCCACUAUAAGAAAUCCCUAUGUAAACAUUUCUUCAAAAUUGAUUCUUUCUCUCUCCAUUUAUUGAUUCAAUCCUAACAUGCAUGUAAGUUGCUUCUUCUUCUCAAAAUUUUUUCUAAUCUACUGAUUCAAUCCUUCAUCCAUUGAUUACUGUGUUUGAAAGUGAAGGUUACGAAUCUAAGAUCUUUCUUCUCCUUUGUUUCCCUAUUAUUCCUCUUUUUUCUGUGCUUCCUUCCCUCUUCUAUGUGCAAUCGAGCUUUGCAUCCACACUUGUUGCCGUAGCCGGAGGAAAAAUGAGGUAAACGAUGAGGAAUAGUUGCGGCGAUGUGAAGAGGUAUUUUGUGCUUGUGAUUGAUUGGUGGAUUACGAAAAGAAAGUUGGACUUUUGCAGAGUUAUUUAGAAAAUCAAUUAAAAUUUUUUGGAUUUGUGUAUGAUUGUGGUGAUGAAUUUGAUAGUCAA
rnacentral:misc_RNA from 1 species